rnacentral:lncRNA from 1 species
CGCUUCGUAAUCGUAUCUCUUAUUAGCAGUCACUUCAGAGUGCAUAAUACCAGUAUAUGUCGCUAGAUGACGCUAUACCCCAUAUUUUGCCUCCCAAAACCAUGCUGUCCUCCAGCGUCCCACAAUUCUCAGUAUGUGCCAGCCUCUGACAGAAACGCUGCAUCUCAGCCGCUUGCCUAGUAACCAGGUGGAAAAUACAAACAUCGCUGGCUCUACUCCCUCUCUUCUGCAUAUAAAAGUAACUUACAAGAUACACAGAGAAGUCAGUCUCACCUCGUAUACCCAACCUCCGUGCCGUACCAUAGCAUGGACAAGAUGGCAGGACAAAUUGGAGGCAAGGAGACUGCCUGAGUUCUGGCAGGCCAAUCACAACUCUCUACAGGAGGGCCAACGAGUGGCGCGCUCAGAAGUUGAGAUCACAGCCAGUGCCUCCCUGACCCAUGAUGUACAAGGACUACAGAUCAGGGCGAACGGGAGGUAAGAGACCUGCUGCUGCUGCUGCUGCUGCUGCUGCUGGGUGCUGUGUUUUGGAUUGUGGGUUAGGUUCGCUGCCACUAAGGGGCCCCCCAAGAGGAGCUGUAUUUUAGCGGCAGGGCAAGGGUCUGUAGUCCACAGUGAAAAUAGAAGAUUUACCGGUGUGGUUGCUGCUGCAUGCCUGAUAAGGCUGUGGCGUUCCCAUGGAGAUGAGGUGUUCUUCUAAAUCUCGCCGCCUAUUUGUAACAGGUGCGACAGUGUUUCUCCCCAGGGUCGAACUUCUUUCUCUCUGUUUAUGUUUCGGAGUGUUUGUUUGCUUUGUGGGAGACUCGGAGUGACAAAAACGUUAUUUUCCUGUAAUGCAAUAGUGUAGCAGAUUUAAUAUAGAACACUGACAGUUGACCGUGUGUAAUGCACCUGCAUACUAACAUUUGUAUUCUAUUAAACCUUCACGCAGUAGUAUGAGUUCAGGAGUAAGUCUGUAGGAUCACAUGGAAAACACCACGUGCAAACCCCAAUAUGCAAACUUUCUUUGUUUCUUUUUACCAUAAGGAAAAUCUGUUUUGAUGAAAUGAGAGAAAAUGCUUAAAACAGAGGCACUUAAGAUCACAGGUUGACCAUACAUAACCAUACAUACUGGCUGGUAGAUUUGAAUUGUUAGAGCCAUGUGGCUGACAUGCCAGUUUAACAUCAGCUGACCCACGCCAGAAGAAUCGCCACACUUCUAUUUCUCUGCAGUCACGGCCAAGAGAAAGUGCAGGAAGGAUUAGAGACAGACAACGAAAUGGAACCGAGCCAAACACACAGAGAGACGGGAGAGAGAGACAGACAAAGUGGAAAAGGGAAGUUCAUUUCUAAGCCUGGAGAAUGAGGGAAGCUUAAGAAGAUGAGCAUGUCCUUUCCCAUUUGGCUCACGGCAAGUGGCGCAGGCUGGCGGGGGUUGAUAAUGAAUUUGCCGUCCGGUUGGUGUGCCCCGCUGUGCUGCCGUUGCAGUCAACCCUCCUGCC